CUUGGGUCUGUCAUGAAUAAAAGAAUAAUUAAAGUUGUAUAGUGUGUGUAACUUUAGCUUAAUCUGAGUUUAAGGUUUAAAGGUGAACGAUGUAAUUUCUAUGCCAAUAAUGGUACCAAACGGAAAUUUAGUCUAUUUGGUGGAUGACUGCGCCAGUCAUGUAAUAUUUAAUUUUUGUAAAAAUACAACAAACUUACCACUGCAGGUUAUGUUUCUGAUUUAAUAUAAAUCCAAUUACUGAUUAAAAGCAGGCAUUGCAUUUUCAACAUUAAAAGUUUUUACAUUGUAAGUGCACAUUGUGUUAAUGUGAAAUAAUAAAGAGAUAUUUACUGG